rnacentral:tRNA from 1 species
CAAAGAGUAGUUUAAUUUUAGAAUACUAGCUUUGGGAGUUAGUGGCCGGGGUUAAAAUCCCCCCUCUUUGA